rnacentral:rRNA from 1 species
UACGUAGGGGGGCAAGCGUUGUCCGGAUUUAUUGGGCGUAAAGAGCGUGUAGGCGGUUAGGUAGGUCCGUUGUGAAAAACUCGAGGCUCAACCUCGAGACGCCGAUGGAAACCAUUUGGCUAGAGUCCGGAAGAGGCGAGUGGAAUUCCUGGUGUAGCGGUGAAAUGCGCAGAUAUCAGGAAGAACACCCGUGGCGAAGGCGGCUCUCUGGGACGGUACUGACGCUGAGACGCGAAAGCGUGGGGAGCGAACAGG